UCCCUAUCACACACCUUUGCCCCAUCACAGACCUACCCUGUCUCUAAAGCUAACACAAAGAACCUGCUAUAUCUCUCUGCCCUGACCCCGGUAUUUUAACCCACUCUCCCUGUGCUCCCUCAUUUAUCGUUUUCCUCUUGUCUCUCUCCACUUCACCUCCUGUUAGGCAAAAUCUGUGCUGUGUGGAAUAGAGGCCGAGCGUGGGCUGCGAGAAGAGAAAAUAUUCAGACAUCUCUAAGCAUAAGUGUGUCUUCUUGACAAAUAGCCUGGUUAUUCUGGAUGAAGAAAGAGAAACAGCUCUGAUUCUUAGCCACCACCACGGAAGCCUGUGCUGCUGCCACACUUCAGGCGUUGCUCAAUUCUCGUAAGAGAAGCAGGUCGAUGGGAAGGCUUCUGGGGCCAGGAUCCAAAGCGCUCCCCAAGAGUCUCCGGGAGUGUCAGCAGAUUCCUCAGUGAGCCAAGAGAAGGGCCCCUGUGCAUGGCCGGGCUCGCUGACGGCACCUCUGAACUAUGCGUAGGAUCAGCUGCUGUCACUUUCGCAGCCUUCCUGUAAAGCCGGGCUGUCGGGCCCCGUCCGCUCCGCCGAGCCCCGCAGAGGACGCGGCUGUGGCGGCGGCGGAUCCGCCGGAGCCUGGGGCAGCGCUCGGGCCAGCACGGGAUCUCUGAGCGGGGAAAGAGAAGGGCAGGAGCUGUGAAAGAGACUUUUUUACUUCAUUGCUUUCUUCCCCUAGCCGGUAUCCUGCCUGUGGAGAGCUCUUAGCGGACUCGUGGACUUGCGCUGCCGUGCCAGCAGGGGUUUCCAAACUAAGACGUUGUUGGAGGUAUGUGACCUGAUCCAAGUUUUCCAGAGUAGCUUCCUGGAAAGAAGAAUUUUAAGAACGAGAACAGAAAAAAAAGCCUGGUAAAAGUUGUAACUGGCUCUGCCUGUCUGUGCUGUGACAGCCAACAAUAUCACCUGCUGAUGAUUUACAGAUUCCUAGGAGAUGUGUUGUUGAGUCUCAAAGAACUGGAACAAGAACAACUCACUCAAAUUGCUUCCCGUGAAACAGCAUAAUGUAUCCACCCGCUUCAUGCUCUCCUAAUUUAGGACAUGUGUAGUGUGUAAUGAUGAACUGGCCAACUGAUUAUGUUGCUGUAAAUCUCGUUCCCCACCUUACAAAACACCCCUGAUUGACCCCUUUUUCAUGAUAGCUCAGUGCAAAAUUUCCAGUCCACUUCUUGAGAGGGAGAAAAUUCACACCAGCCACUUGCAAAAGCAUUUCUCCAGAGAGAAAAAUGCAACAUUUUGUUGUUUUUAUUUCAUUGGGCAGCCUUUUCAAGUUCUGUGGCCCUCUUUUGCUUCCCUUUAAAUUGUGACCAGUAUUUAUUUAUCCCUCUUUGAACACAAUAACUUAAUUAAGAAACUAAUCAGCAGUGUUGAACUGAUCUUUCAACUCACCCCUAUCACUGAAGGAAAUUUAUGAAUGCAUAGUACAAGAAAGAUCCUAUUAUCUAAAAAGCUUUCUACUAAAAGCAUUUGGCAUCUAAAAUGUAAGACUUGAAAUUCUGCACUAAAUUUAUAAUGUAAAUAUGUGAACAUUAUUUAUAGAGUCUGAAAUGUACCCCAACUGCAUCUAACAAGUUCAUUCUGGAUUAUUUAUUAAAAAUGAAAUUGUUUCAAGUUUAAAGGAUUGAAUGGUGUAUUUUGGAAUCUGAAGGGAAGAUUGUAAAGGUACCUGUGUAAGAGAGAGAAGUUUGAUGCUUUAGGUUGCCUCUUCCAUCAGUGGAGAGAGGUUGGCAUGUUCCAUUUUCUUAGAAACUUAUCUUUGGAUGGAAAUUUAUUGGCUGAUCAUCUCAGCAGGGCAUUAACAGGAUCUCUGUAGUUAGUCAUCAUCAUCAUCUGUUAUUCCCAGUUCCCUUGGCUUCAGCCUGAGAGAAUAAUUCUGAACGCUACCUGGGAUGGAGGCACCUGGGGCAGAAAGUGACCAGAUCCCAAAAGGAGAGAUCCCUCUGUGCACUCUUGCUCAGCCCUGGGAACUGAGCUGCUGCUGGCCAUCUAACAGGACAGAUUCAAUAGAACUUUCUCCUCUCCACCAGCUGAGUGCUGAGUAAAUGUCAGCACUAGAGGACCUAGUUGAUAAGUCGGAAAAUGCCUCCUGGGGUAGGAUGGCUCCAAGAUGUUUGGCCAAAUGUAGCCAAAACAUUUAUAUUUCUAGACACAGUCUGCAGAAGAAUUAAAGGUGCCUCAGUAACUGCUCUGGAGGAGAACUGAGUGGUUAGAGGAGGGACAGAAGAUCCUUUGCUAUCAGGCCUCUCCACCUAUCCAAGUGGCACUGCGAGCACCUAACUGCAGGUUUAGAUCUAGUCCUUUGUCCUCCAAGGACUUGAACAGACAGGUGGAGAUAACAAUUAGUUCUAUGCAAAAUCAGGCCUAGAAUUAGGGUCUGGUAGCUGGAAUUAAUGAGAUGCCUGGUUUUCUAUGGCUUUGGAUCGUGUCACUGGAUUAACCUGUGUCUAAGAACGUAUGAGCUCUGUUCCAAGGUUUGACUGCAACUGGGAAAAUCCUCAAAGUGCCUGCCUUUGGUGAUUCUCUGGUGACUAAAAAUAUGGUGAAAGAGUUCUUAGAGGUCUCUUUUGUUAAAAGAACUACAAUUUUAUUCCUCCCUUCUUACUUUCACACAAUUUGUGGAAUUUCAUCUUUUACCUUCUUGUCCUGCAGUAGCUGGCUUGAAAUUUGCCAACAGGCUCAAAAGGCUGUGGUGAGGGAGAGAAGUUAGAAACAUACAGGCUGGCAUGUAGUGCUUUCCUGAGAAAAGUAAACUUAAAAGGACAUAGUGUCUGUCCUAUGAAGCUUACUGUAUCCCUAAAGGAUGGGCUAAAGACAAGAGAAUGGACUGAAGGAGGUAUGACAUAUUAAGGACUCAUGUUGGAAAUUCUUUUAGCAACUGGAGGAGCCCCCCAGUUCAGUUUGCCACUGCCUAGCUGCUGGGGUCUAUUGAGCUUCCAGAAAGGUAUGAUGCAGGAAUUAAUGUUCUCACACUUCCUGUUGCCCCAUUUGCUUGGUCAUGGCUUAUAUACUCCACAUGAGAUCUGUAGGAGAAAGAGAUAUGAAAAGAGAGGACUGCCAUUUUUUCCAGGAAGAGCAGAUUGCAAGACUGUGGCAUUUUUCCCACACAUCUUGAAUAGUUUUAUACUUGGGCUUUUUGAGGAGUUUUUAAUUAAUUUAUUGUUUAAAUAACUCUAAUGAGUAGAGCCCCUGCCACACUGAUUCUAAUGAGGAUUGCAUGUGCUCUGUGUCUUUCUCAUUGUGGCCUAUGUAAUUUAAAUAUCUUAGCCAACAUGUGCUGUGGCAGAUUUCACUUAUAUCUGCUUAAAUUAAAGCUUGUCAGUUUAGGAGCUAAGAAGCAUGCAAAUAUUUGAGAGAUAUUUGACAUUCACUGCUGAAAUCAUCACACUAAAUAUCUGGCAUCAGUGACAUUACUUGAGAAGGGUUAGAAAUUCUUGCUGUGUUGUACAGGCUGGACAUUCUGGACUUAAUGAAGAAAAAUGUACUUAUCCUUAUGUGUUCAAAAUUAAGGUCUCCACCAAAAUUUCAGCUUGUUUUUCUUCUGUAUUUUCUCUGAGCAAUAUGUGACUGUUUGAGUAGCUCAAAGUUGCUGCUAGGAGAACAAACAGUACCAAUAUCUCAGAAGUAGUUGGAGUAAUAGCACAAUAUAGCUGUAAAAGGAAUGGCAUUUCCUUAUGUUCUCAUCCCCUAGAAAUGCAAAGGAAGAUGGCGCUGAGCUGGAAGAGUCUGAUGGAACCUUGGAUGUUUGAACAGUUCCAGGAGAUGAAGAUUAAUUUCCUGUGCAUGUGUAUUUUUUCCUAUUAUGGGUCACUAUAUCAAAACACCAUACUAUAUGUAGUACGUACAGCAUGCAAACUUUCUGUGCUGAAAAGUACUGGCUUGUUGACACACUGAAGUCAAAAUUGGAUAUUAAAAUGGAAGUAUUAAACAUCUAGGUGU